UUUUCAUCUCUCUUUCCCUUAAAAUCUAUUUAAAUUCACUCCAUCAAACUCACUUUUAAAAACAAACACAAGCUAAAUGAAAGUGGUUUUUCUCUCGAGUUCCCUUUGUUGAAGAAUGAAGAUUGGGGACAAUAGCACGUGGGAAGAAGUGGAAGAUUGGAAAAAUGCACGUAUAGCAAGGGCCGAUUGCUUUUGCUGUGAUUGUCAAGGACUCUUCUAUCCAGCUCUGAAUUGUUAUAUUUUGUUGUGGUUUGGUAAGAUGAAAUCUCGAACAUUCCCUGUUUUUCUCCCGCUCAUAUUUCUAAAACCUUAGAUUUAUAUUUCUUCUUUUGGCUUUUGCUGUUAAGGUUUUGUUCUUCUUCGUCAGGUGAUUGAUUGUUUGUUUCCAUUUUCCUUUGCCAUUGUUUUGGUUUGAUGGUUGUUCUGGUUGUUUUUUUACAUUUUUCGAUUGGUGGAUAGAAGUUCAGUACAGAAAACGAGUACACCCAAAGCCUUCUACAAAUUUCAUUUUGUGCUUUCCAUUUGGCAUUUUCCACAUAUAUUGUGAGAGAAUGUUCUGUUAGGUUUUGAGACCAUGGACUAGACUGUUCACUUCCAACCUCCACCACUACUACGACGACGGAGGACAAUCUUAACCUUCCUGUACCAUUACCACCAUUACCAGACCAUUAUCAGGUUGUUCUCAUCUGACACUGACAGUAUCUGAAGAGUGGAGAAUAGCACCUGCUUCUAAUUCUCUCAUGUUUAAGACCUAUGCAAAGUUGAUGGAUUUGGUCCUGAGAUUCUUGCUAAUAGGGACUAUGGUUGUGCAAUGUCUACACUGAUGCACUCUCUGCAGAUAAGGUAAUCUUUGGGGAGGUGGUUCCUGCAUUAAAGCUGGCCUUUUUUGAGAUAACAAAUUACUGAUGUAGUUCAGACUAGGGUGGAGCAAGACAAAUACCACGGGCCGAUAAAGAAUAGUCCUGAAGUGUAUGCACUCUAGAAGGCAAAAACUCCUCUCUCUAAAUGCUCAAGCUCUACCUAAAUGAUAUAUGCCAAUCAAGUAUACCUUGAAUAUCUAUCUUGACUAAUCAAAAGAAUGGGGAUUAUCAAUAAACCAAUUGGAGUUAUUAAAUAUCCAGAUGUUGUAAAAGGGUUACACGUUGCCUCAAUCAGAGGCCACCAUUCAAGGUUUUAAAGGCAAAAGCUAUACUGACGAAGAGAUUGAAGUCAUACUUAGAAGGAGUAGAAGUGUUGAAAUAUUAUGAAAUCUUAUUGGUAAGUAAAGUAGUCAUUUGUAAAAAAAGAAAAUUAUUGUUAAGAAGAAAAAUAGUAAAAAUUGAGAUUGAUGUUUUAGUUUAAUAAAAGCAACUUACCAUUUUAAUUCAA